AUUUGGUCGUAGACCCGAAACCAGGUGAUCUACCCUUGGUCAGGUUGAAGUUCAGGUAACACUGAAUGGAGGACCGAACCGACUUACGUUGAAAAGUGAGCGGAUGAACUGAGGGUAGCGGAGAAAUUCCAAUCGAACCUGGAGAUAGCUGGUUCUCUCCGAAAUAGCUUUAGGGCUAGCCUCAAGUGAUGAUUAUUGGAGGUAGAGCACUGUUUGGACGAGGGGCCCCUCUCGGGUUACCGAAUUCAGACAAACUCCGAAUGCCAAUUAAUUUAACUUGGGAGUCAGAACAUGGGUGAUAAGGUCCGUGUUCGAAAGGGAAACAGCCCAGACCACCAGCUAAGGUCCCAAAAUAUAUGUUAAGUGGAAAAGGAUGUGGCGUUGCCCAGACAACUAGGAUGUUGGCUUAGAAGCAGCCAUCAUUUAAAGAGUGCGUAAUAGCUCACUAGUCGAGUGACACUGCGCCGAAAAUGUACCGGGGCUAAACAUAUUACCGAAGCUGUGGAUUGUCCUUUGGACAAUGGUAGGAGAGCGUUCUAAGGGCGUUGAAGCAUGAUCGUAAGGACAUGUGGAGCGCUUAGAAGUGAGAA
rnacentral:rRNA from 1 species